CCUACGGGGGGCUGCAGUGGGGAAUCUUCCGCAAUGGACGAAAGUCUGACGGAGCAACGCCGCGUGAGUGAAGAAGGUUUUCGGAUCGUAAAGCUCUGUUGUUUGAGACGAAUGUGCAGACUUUGAAUAAGGGUUUGUAAUGACGGUAUUAAACGAGAAAGCCACGGCUAACUACGUGCCAGCAGCCGCGGUAAUACGUAGGUGGCAAGCGUUGUCCGGAAUUAUUGGGCGUAAAGGGAGCGCAGGUGGGAAUGUAAGUCAGUCUUAAAAGUGCGGGGCUCAACCCCGUGAGGGGAUUGAAACUACAUUUCUUGAGUGCAGGAGAGGAAAGUGGAAUUCCUAGUGUAGCGGUGAAAUGCGUAGAGAUUAGGAGGAACACCAGUGGCGAAGGCGACUUUCUGGACUGUAACUGACACUGAGGCUCGAAAGCCAGGGGAGCGAACGGGAUUAGAUACCCCUGUAGUC
rnacentral:rRNA from 1 species